UACGUAGGGGGCAAGCGUUGUCCGGAUUUAUUGGGCGUAAAGAGCGUGUAGGCGGCCAGAUAAGUCCGCUGUGAAAACUCGAGGCUCAACCUCGAGACGCCGAUGGAAACCAUGUGGCUAGAGUCCGGAAGAGGAGAGUGGAAUUCCUGGUGUAGCGGUGAAAUGCGCAGAUAUCAGGAAGAACACCCGUGGCUAAGGCGGCUCACUGGCCCGGUACUGACGCUGAGGUGCGAAAGCGUGGGGAGCAAACAGG
rnacentral:rRNA from 1 species